GCAAUUUGCAGACUACCUGGAGUUGCUAGGAAAUUUGCCUCUUAAAAAUAUGGAAAUCAUGCAUGUGGUGCUUCUCAUGUCAUCCAUACCUCUGCCUGUCAUAGAUGCAACAUUGAUAAUACUAAAUAUUUUCAAGGUAACAAUGAUAUGAAAAGUUAAUUAUCCAAAUCUUCAUAUCAUUCUGCUGAAAUUUAAGAAUUUACAGAUUUCAAAUGACCCUUCACAGGUACGUUAUACAGGUGAAUGUCAAUGAUGGAUAGGGAAAAGCUAAAUCUACCGGGCGAUAUAUAUGCUGUCUCCCUGUAUAUACUGAUAGAUAAAAGGCCCUACAAUGUCCAUCUCAGCAUUGGAUUAGAUUUGUUGCCAGCAGGGGGAUGUUGAGCCCCAUGAACUCUCCAUGGUAGCUAACUAAGUGAAACCGCCCCUUGUAGCGUAUGGCAUACUGAUAGAUAAGCUUAUAAAGACAGAUUCUGCCC
rnacentral:lncRNA from 1 species